GAUGAACGCUGGCGGCGUGCCUAAUACAUGCAAGUCGAGCGAACGGACGAGAAGCUUGCUUCUCUGAUGUUAGCGGCGGACGGGUGAGUAACACGUGGAUAACCUACCUAUAAGACUGGGAUAACUUCGGGAAACCGGAGCUAAUACCGGAUAAUAUUUUGAACCGCAUGGUUCAAAAGUGAAAGACGGUCUUGCUGUCACUUAUAGAUGGAUCCGCGCUGCAUUAGCUAGUUGGUAAGGUAACGGCUUACCAAGGCAACGAUGCAUAGCCGACCUGAGAGGGUGAUCGGCCACACUGGAACUGAGACACGGUCCAGACUCCUACGGGAGGCAGCAGUAGGGAAUCUUCCGCAAUGGGCGAAAGCCUGACGGAGCAACGCCGCGUGAGUGAUGAAGGUCUUCGGAUCGUAAAACUCUGUUAUUAGGGAAGAACAUAUGUGUAAGUAACUGUGCACAUCUUGACGGUACCUAAUCAGAAAGCCACGGCUAACUACGUGCCAGCAGCCGCGGUAAUACGUAGGUGGCAAGCGUUAUCCGGAAUUAUUGGGCGUAAAGCGCGCGUAGGCGGUUUUUUAAGUCUGAUGUGAAAGCCCACGGCUCAACCGUGGAGGGUCAUUGGAAACUGGAAAACUUGAGUGCAGAAGAGGAAAGUGGAAUUCCAUGUGUAGCGGUGAAAUGCGCAGAGAUAUGGAGGAACACCAGUGGCGAAGGCGACUUUCUGGUCUGUAACUGACGCUGAUGUGCGAAAGCGCGGGGAUCAAACAGGAUUAGAUACCCUGGUAGUCCACGCCGUAAACGAUGAGUGCUAAGUGUUAGGGGGUUUCCGCCCCUUAGUGCUGCAGCUAACGCAUUAAGCACUCCGCCUGGGGAGUACGACCGCAAGGUUGAAACUCAAAGGAAUUGACGGGGACCCGCACAAGCGGUGGAGCAUGUGGUUUAAUUCGAAGCAACGCGAAGAACCUUACCAAAUCUUGACAUCCUUUGACAACUCUAGAGAUAGAGCUUUCCCCUUCGGGGGACAAAGUGACAGGUGGUGCAUGGUUGUCGUCAGCUCGUGUCGUGAGAUGUUGGGUUAAGUCCCGCAACGAGCGCAACCCUUAAGCUUAGUUGCCAUCAUUAAGUUGGGCACUCUAAGUUGACUGCCGGUGACAAACCGGAGGAAGGUGGGGAUGACGUCAAAUCAUCAUGCCCCUUAUGAUUUGGGCUACACACGUGCUACAAUGGACAAUACAAAGGGCAGCGAAACCGCGAGGUCAAGCAAAUCCCAUAAAGUUGUUCUCAGUUCGGAUUGUAGUCUGCAACUCGACUACAUGAAGCUGGAAUCGCUAGUAAUCGUAGAUCAGCAUGCUACGGUGAAUACGUUCCCGGGUCU
rnacentral:rRNA from 1 species